GACGAACCGAGCGAACGUUGUUCGGAAUCACUGGGCUUAAAGGGCGCGUAGGCGGGCUAUCAAGUCUGGGGUGAAAUCCCACGGCUCAACCGUGGAACUGCCUUAGAUACUGACGGCCUCGAGGGAGAUAGGGGCGAGCGGAACUGUGAGUGGAGCGGUGAAAUGCGUUGAUAUUCACAGGAACUCCGGUGGCGAAGGCGGCUCGCUGGAUCUUUUCUGACGCUGAGGCGCGAAAGCUAGGGGAGCAAACGGG
rnacentral:rRNA from 1 species